CAUUUCGUUGGGUCCAGGAGAGAUCUUAAUGAAGGUGCAAGCACCAACUAUGUGAAAACUCACAGGAUGCAAAUGCAAGUAUAGAGUCCAACUUCUGGAGACUAUCCAAGAGACAAUCAAUACAGAGCAAAUGAGUAGAAUUGUUAAUUAACGAGCUGGAUUCCAUCCAUUUAUCCAUUAAAAAGGCAUCACAAAUGGUGAAACAAAUUGGUAGGCAGGACCAACGGAAGAGGCUCUCUCAAAGCUUGAAUUCAUAAUUUUUAAGGAGAACGCACAUGGUAGAACCAUUGGAACUUAAAAGUUUCAGUAUAAGCAGAGAUUGGUUUU